UGUUUGAACGUGUUUUAGAUUUGUUUGGUAUAGAGUCUUAGAUUUGGUUUAUACUUUUUCAUGCACAAGGGUUCAACACCAAAAAGUAAGCCGGAACCUCCUAGCCGGGAGCUCGAAGAGAACCACACUACACCAUAGAAUAACAUUAAAGAAAAUUACAACAUUAUAGCAUUGAUACCAUCAUUAAACCAAUUAUCUAUACUGAUAUGCUCCCCAUUAGGGGUGGCAAAAUGGGUGAGUUGGACAGGUUUGGGUAAUGGGUUAGGAUGGGUAUGGGUUAGGAUGGGUUUGGGUUAGGAUGGGUUUAGGUCAAGAUGAGUUUUUGUCAAGAUGGAUUUGGGCAUGAUAGGCUAAAAAUAUAAAUAAAUAAAAAAAU